GUGCUGGUGGCUCACUGCAGGUGACAAAGCCUCGCUCCUGGCACUGGCAGGUGCCACUGGCAUCACGGCUCUGCUCUGCCUCCCCCCAUGGGACACCUGUGGCUAAACCUUGUCUUUCCAUUAUGCUGGUGAGCUAGAGCACUUUGAGACUGCAGCUUGUCAACCUUCCACAUAUCCAGAUACCUCCAGGUGCAGGAAUCACCAUGGCAGUGGCUUCUGCCUUCCUCUGGUGCACCUGCAUGCAGUGAGGGAAUUGAUUUGGCUUCGCUGCAGCUCUGCCACUUCCCACCAGUCCAGGCUCCCGGACCUCUGGUGACAGAAGAGCCUGAGAUUGCUGCCAGUUAAUGCAGAGAUUGCUGUGGGGAAAUAUUUCCAGAGUCACACCUCACUGUGCAAAGCGCAAUCCCAGCUCUAGCAAAACACAUGGAUAAAACUUUUUGUCAUUUUAUGCAUAGCUCCUGCUGUAAUAUGAGAUUGGAAAAUGAAACCAGCUUGAAGCCAGUGUGUAACUCUCUGAAUAUUCAGGAAGUAAAAUAAGCUUUCUA